rnacentral:rRNA from 1 species
GAUGAACGCUAGCGGCAGGCCUAAUACAUGCAAGUCGAACGAGAUUAAGAGGCUUGCUUCUUAUGAAAGUGGCGCACGGGUGCGUAACGCGUAUGCAACCUACCUUAAUCAGGGGGAUAGCCCGAAGAAAUUCAGAUUAAGACCGCAUAAAAACACAGGAUAGCAUUAUCCAAUGCUCAAAUAUUUAUAGGAUUAAGACGGGCAUGCGUGUCAUUAGCUAGUUGGCGGGGUAACGGCCCACCAAGGCGACGAUGACUAGGGGAUCUGAGAGGAUGACCCCCCACACUGGGACUGAGAACCGGACCGGAUUCCCACGGGAGGCAGCAGUAAGGAAUAUUGGUCAAUGGAGGGAACUCUGAACCAGCCAUGCCGCGUGCAGGAAGACAGCCCUCUGGGUCGUAAACUGCUUUUAUUCGGGAAUAAACCUUUCUACGUGUAGGAAGCUGAAUGUACCGAAGGAAUAAGGAUCGGCUAACUCCGUGCCAGCCGCCGCGGUAA